AUUCACAAGCCGGGAGCAUAAAUGACCGAGUUGAGCAGCACAUUAAACACUGCAUUCUCCAAGAAAUAUUAAAUAAAAUAAGAGCAUCAACUCUACAGCACAGACAAAAUGCCAGGAACAAAAGGCAAAGGUAACAAAUCGGACAAGAAGUCAAGCACCAAGCAACCUCAGAGUCCUAAAGAACAGCCGAAGAAAGGUGAUCAGAAAGGAGACGAUAACACGAAGCAAGGAGGACAGCCGAAGGGAGAGAAGCAGUAAUUUCAGAGCAUUCGUGAAGAUGGCUUUGGAGACACUGCUGGGAUCUUGUCGUCAUAAACGAGACGGUUCUCUGGGAAAACAGGGCUGACCACUCCUUACCCGUCACUGGCCAUGAAGCUACAGACUAAACUGAUGUGUGGCCCAGCAAUAAAGUUCUUCCACAGAGGCGGACAGUAAAUCUGAUCUCCAUCCAUCAUCUUCUGUUGUCCCCCUCCUGUUACUCUCCAUCUCUCUGCCAGGCCCUCCCUUGUCUUCUCUGUCAGACGGGAUGCUUAAAACCAGACUCCAGGUUAGAGGAGACCUCAGCUCUAAGUGAGGCAACCCCUCCCACCCUUGUUAUCAUCGCUGUCAAACAGCAAAAACAACUUUUGUACAUGAUUAUUCAAAUAAAAAGCUAUUUAUCACAGCA